GCCAGUUCGGUCACACGGCACCAUCAUGUUUAAAGGCCGAUCCACAAUGAGACCAUGUUGUAUGUGUGGGCCAUGACCGACUACAGCCCUCAGCAGGACCCGACCAUCCCCUGUGCCGACGCCGGCAUGAGCUUCAGAAGAGGUGACACCCUGGAGAUCGUGGAUCAGACAGACACCCUGUGGUGGCAGGCAAAGAAACUCCUAAGCAACACGGCAUGUGCCGGCCUCAUUUCCUCCACCAGCCUGCUCAAACGGUCAGAUGUGGUGCUUUUAAAGAUGCCCAUCCAGCCUUAGACUGCAUGGUUGCAGGGGGGCUGAAGCCUUUCUCAGCUCUCAUAGGGUGAGAGGCAGGAUACACCCUGGACAGCUUUGACAGCAUGUCGCAGCACCAAC